rnacentral:rRNA from 1 species
AUUGAACGCUGGCGGCAUGCUUUACACAUGCAAGUCGAACGGCAGCGCGGGCUUCGGCCUGGCGGCGAGUGGCGAACGGGUGAGUAAUACAUCGGAACGUGCCCAGUAGUGGGGGCUAGCUCGGCGAAAGCCGGAUUAAUACCGCAUACGACCUGAGGGUGAAAGCGGGGGAUCUUCGGAUCUCGCGCUAUUGGAGCGGCCGAUGGCAGAUUAGCUAGUUGGUGGGGUAAAGGCCUACCAAGGCGACGAUCUGUAGCUGGUCUGAGAGGACGACCAGCCACACUGGGACUGAGACACGGCCCAGACUCCUACGGGAGGCAGCAGUGGGGAAUUUUGGACAAUGGGCGAAAGCCUGAUCCAGCAAUGCCGCGUGUGUGAUGAAGGCCUUCGGGUUGUAAAGCACUUUUGGCGGGAACGAAAAGGACUGUGCCAAUACCACGGUUCGAUGACGGUACCCGCAGAAUAAGCACCGGCUAACUACGUG